GACGAACGCUGGCGGCGUGCUUAACACAUGCAAGUCGAGCGGUAAGGCCCUUUCGGGGGUACACGAGCGGCGAACGGGUGAGUAACACGUGGGUGACCUGCCCUCAGCUCUGGGAUAAGCCCGGGAAACUGGGUCUAAUACCGGAUAUGACCCUAUGGCGCAUGUUGUGGGGUGGAAAGCCUUGUGCGGCUAGGGAUGGGCCCGCGGCCUAUCAGCUUGUUGGUGGGGUGAUGGCCUACCAAGGCGACGACGGGUAGCCGGCCUGAGAGGGCGACCGGCCACACUGGGGACUGAGACACGGCCCAGACCCCUACGGGAGGGCAGCAGUGGGGAAUCUUGCGCAAUGGGCGAAAGCCUGACGCAGCGACGCCGCGUGAGGGAUGACGGCCUCGGUUGUAACU
rnacentral:rRNA from 1 species